GACGAACGCUGGCGGCGUGCCUAAUACAUGCAAGUAGAACGCAGUUGCGAACGGGUGAGUAACGCGUAUGUAACUUCCUCAUAGCGGGGGGUAACUAUUGGAAACGAUAGCUAAUUCCGCAUUCUGUGAGCUUGACCUGCGUUGUAUUAGCUAGUUGGUGAGGUAAAGGCUCACCAAGGCGACUAUACAUAGCCGACCUGAGAGGGUGAUCGGGCAAACUGGGACUGGGAAACGGCCCAGAAUGCUAAGGGAGGGAGCAGUAGGGGAUCUUUGGCAAUGGACGGAAGUCUGACCGAGCAACGCCGGGUGAGUGAAGGAGGUUUUCGGAGCGGAAAGCUAUGUUGUUAGAGAAGCGGUAACUAAACAGAAAGGGACGGCUAACUACGUGCCAGCAGCCGCGGUAAUUC
rnacentral:rRNA from 1 species